rnacentral:rRNA from 1 species
AUUGAACGCUGGCGGUAUGCUUAACACAUGCAAGUCGAACGGUAACAGGCCUUCGGGCGCUGACGAGUGGCGGACGGGUGCGUAACGCGUAGGAAUCUGCCUGUUAGUGGGGGACAACGUGGGGAAACUCACGCUAAUACCGCAUACGCCCUACGGGGGAAAGCGGGGGACCUUCGGGCCUCGCGCUAACAGAUGAGCCUGCGUGGGAUUAGCUAGUUGGUAGGGUAAAGGCCUACCAAGGCGACGAUCCCUAGCUGGUCUGAGAGGACGAUCAGCCACACUGGGACUGAGACACGGCCCAGACUCCUACGGGAGGCAGCAGUGGGGAAUAUUGGACAAUGGGCGCAAGCCUGAUCCAGCAAUACCGCGUGUGUGAAGAAGGCCUGAGGGUUGUAAAGCACUUUUAAUCGGGAGGAAUAGCUGUCGGCCAAUACCCGGCAGUCUGACAUUACCGAUAGAAAAAGCACCGGCUAACUCCGUGCCAGCAGCCGCGGUAACAC